rnacentral:rRNA from 1 species
UGGGGAAUUUUGGACAAUGGGGGAAACCCUGAUCCAGCCAUCCCGCGUGUGCGAUGAAGGCCUUCGGGUUGUAAAGCACUUUUGGCAGGAAAGAAAGCGUCGCGGGUUAAUACCCCGCGAAACUGACGGUACCUGCAGAAUAAGCACCGGCUAACUACGUGCCAGCAGCCGCGGUAAUACGUAGGGUGCAAGCGUUAAUCGGAAUUACUGGGCGUAAAGCGUGCGCAGGCGGUUCGGAAAGAAAGAUGUGAAAUCCCAGAGCUUAACUUUGGAACUGCAUUUUUAACUACCGGGCUAGAGUGUGUCAGAGGGAGGUGGAAUUCCGCGUGUAGCAGUGAAAUGCGUAGAUAUGCGGAGGAACACCGAUGGCGAAGGCAGCCUCCUGGGAUAACACUGACGCUCAUGCACGAAAAGCGUGGGGAGCAAAGCAGGAUUAGAUACCCNUUGNGUCCACGCCCCUAAACGAUGUCAAACUAGCUGUUGGGGCCUUCGGGCCUUGGUAGCGCAGCUAACGCGUGAAGUUGACCGCCUGGGGAGUACGGUCGCAAGAUUAAAACUUAAAUGAAUUGACGGGGUCAUAGCUGUUU